rnacentral:lncRNA from 1 species
UGCUCUUGGGCAGCGUCAGCGAUUACGUCGUGAACAACGCCGCCUGCCCGGUCACCGUUGUCAAGCCAGCGAGUAACCAUGCCUGAUCUCAUCGUCGCAAAUGUCUACAUUUGUUUUAGUUUGCUGGAGUCCUAUAUAUCCAGUUGGCCGCAACUUAUUGAACCAUCCAGUGUUAUUUGUAAUAAUAAUUGACAAUUAGCCUGUGGAUGAUUCCCAGGUUGUGUAAUCUGUGCAUGUGUCCUGUACAUCCUGUACAUUUGUGUGCUUAUCUUCAGCUUAGCUUUUGCACCCUGAGUCAGGCCGUGCUGCUGCUUGCUGCAUGCGUGAUGUUCAUACAGUUUCUAGAGUCUGAAUAAAAUGGAUUCGAUUCUGCUGUUUCUUUUUACGAUGGACAGCCAUUUUGC